rnacentral:ncRNA from 2 species
CACUUAUCCAGAGAGACCGAGGGAACAGGCCCGACGACGUCCAGCAACCGCCGCAAGGAAAGGUGCUCCUUCCUGCAGAAUCAUUGUAUUCUGAAAGAUAAGCG